CCGAGUUUACAACUCCCAAACCCCUUGUGAACAUACCUACUGUUGCCUCGGCGGAUCAGCCCGCUCCCCGGUAAAACGGGACGGCCCGCCCGAGGACCCCUAAACUCUGUUUUUAGUGGAACUUCUGAGUAAAACAAACAAAUAAAUCA
rnacentral:misc_RNA from 1 species